rnacentral:rRNA from 1 species
UGGGGAAUUUUGCACAAUGGGGGAAACCCUGAUGCAGCGACGCCGCGUGAUUUAGAAGGCCUUCGGGUUGUAAAAAUCUUUUCUAUGGGAAGAAAAUGACAGUACCAUAGGAAUAAGGACCGGCUAAUUACGUGCCAGCAGCCGCGGUAAUACGUAAGGUCCGAGCGUUGUCCGGAAUCAUUGGGCGUAAAGGGUACGUAGGCGGGUAAGCAAGUUAGAAGUGAAAUCCUGUAGCUCAACUACAGUAAGCUUUUAAAACUGCUCAUCUUGGGUUAUGGAAGGGAAAGUGGAAUUCCGAGUGGAGCGGUGAAAUGCGCAGAUAUAAGGAGGAAUACCGGUGGCGAAGGCGGCUUUCUGGCCAAAAUCUGACGCUGAGGUACGAAAGCGGGGGUAGCAAACAGG